AGGGCUUGACAUCCUACUAACGAGGCGGAAACGCAUUAGGUGCCCUUCGGGGAAAGUAGAGACAGGUGGUGCAUGGUUGUCGUCAGCUCGUGUCGUGAGAUGUAGGGUUAAGUCCCCCAACGAGCGCAACCCCUAUGGUUAGUUGCUACGCAAGAGCACUCUAGCCAGACUGCCGUUGACAAAACGGAGGAAGGUGGGGACGACGUCAAAUCAUCAUGCCCCUUAUGUCCUGGGCUUCACACGUAAUACAAUGGUGGCGCAACAGAGGGGUGCAAAGCCGCGAGGCAGAGCAAAUCCCUAAAAGCCAUCCCAGUUCGGAUUGCAGGCUGCAACCCGCCUGCAUGAAGUUGGAAUUGCUAGUAAUCGCGGAUCAGCAUGCCGCGGUGAAUACGUUCCCGGGGA
rnacentral:rRNA from 1 species